rnacentral:rRNA from 1 species
UACGGGGGGGAGCAAGCGUUGUUCGGAUUUACUGGGCGUAAAGGCGCGUAGGCGGCCACCGCAAGUCGACUGUGAAAUCUCCGGGCUUAACCCGGAAAGGUCAGCCGAUACUGCGGGGCUAGAGUGCAGAAGGGGCAACUGGAAUUCUCGGUGUAGCGGUGAAAUGCGUAGAUAUCGAGAGGAACACCUGCGGCGAAGGCGGGUUGCUGGGCUGACACUGACGCUGAGGCGCGAAAGCUAGGGGAGCGAACGGG